ACCAAUGAUGAUGAUGAUAAUGAUAGGCCCAGGCAUAGUAUAGAUGUUGUAAUUGAAAUCUCAGAUGCAGUUCGUAGCAUCCGCACAACGGAUAAAAGAGACCCAGAGAACGGUGUAACAGAACGACAAAAUGGCUCGCAAAAUCGUCGAAGAUAUCCAAACAAGUACUGCACAUGCUUCGAUUAUUUCUUCAAGCUUGUAGUGAAGUUCUUGCUAAUUAUCACUAG